AACGAACGCUGGCGGCAGGCCUAACACAUGCCAGUCGAGCGGACCCUUCGGGGUUAGCGGCGGACGGGUGAGUAACGCGUGGGAAUAUGCCCUUCUCUACGGAAUAGUCCUGGGAAACUGGGGGUAAUACCGUAUACGCCCUUUGGGGGAAAGAUUUAUCGGGGAAGGAUUAGCCCGCGUUGGAUUAGGUAGUUGGUGGGGUAAUGGCCUACCAAGCCGACGAUCCAUAGCUGGUUUGAGAGGAUGAUCAGCCACACUGGGACUGAGACACGGCCCAGACUCCUACGGGAGGCAGGAGUGGGGAAUCUUAGACAAUGGGGGCAACCCUGAUCGAGCCAUGCCGGGUGAGUGAUGAAGGCCUUAGGGUUGUAAAGCUCUUUCAGCUGGGAAGAUAAUGACGGUACCAGCAGAAGAAGCCCCGGCUAACUCCGUG
rnacentral:rRNA from 1 species